rnacentral:lncRNA from 1 species
UAAAUUCGGUGUUGUGUUAGUGUAACUCACACGUAAACUAAACACAAUUGCGUUCCCAUUGAUAAAACUCAAUGUUUACAUGUAGUUUAAAUCAUGUUUUAUCUACACACAGUCGAUAGUCAAUGUAGGCCUUGUGUAGGUUAAGUGUACACAAAACUAGGCAUUUAGGACAUUAGUUUUACCGUGUAUAUAUUUAAGGAGGAAACUAUUUUUGAGUAAAAUUGAUAUUUUUGAUAAUUAUUAGUAUAGUUCUUUACAGAAAUUGUUGUCUAAAUUUUACAGAUUUUUUUUGUUAAAAACAAAUUCGCGUACUUUAUUAACCCCUGAUUAAGACUCAAAGCAGCAUCAUUGCCGAACCCAUAAGGCAGGAACCAAUUGAUUUUCG